AGCGAAGCAAGCAUUGUUGAAGAUAGGGAAGAGUUCUGGACAGUAUGGGCAGCAGAGUCAAGAGCCCUAGUCCGUGACUCACAGAUGCAAACAGAUGCAGAGAGGAGAGGAAAAUGACAGCGAAAGGGGGAGGUGGGAACCCUGGCAGGCCUGGUGCUCAGCAUUCUUCGUUCAUUUUCUUUAUAGGCAUCUAAACUCAUUUAAUUCAUGAAAUGCGCUAGAUGUGAAAUACUAUUUAUUUUUUUAAAUGUCCUCCUUUCUUUUCUUCUCUCCAAAGCUCAUAUAUGACAGGACAGACUUCAAAAGCAUGUAAGGUGUGGGACAUCCCUGGUAGUCCAGUGGUUACGGUGCCAUGCUGCCAAGGCUGGGGGCAUGGGUUUGAUCCCUGGCUGAGGAACUAAGAUCCCACAUGCAGUGCAGCAUGGGCAAAAGAUUUUUUUUUUUUUAAAGCAUGUUAAGCUGUUCAGUAGAACAGAAGGCCCCCUGCUUAGAAGGACCACUAUUGAUUUGACAUUCUACUGUGGCCAUCUUGAGCUUCCUAAUUUCUGAACAAGGGACCCCACAUUUCUAUUUUGUACUGCCCUGGAGGAGGGAAUGGCAACCCACUCCAGUAUCCUUGCCUGGAGGAUCCCAUGGACAGAGGAGCCUGGCGGGCUACAGUCCAUAGGGUCACACAGAGUUGGACACGACUGAAGCGACUUAGCAUGCACGCAUGUGGUAAAUUAUGAAGCCAGUCCUGCUCCUAGAAUAAAAGACUGUCCAGCCCUGGUUUGUCCUUUUCAAACCCUCCGCCAGGAUCCCAGAUGGGACUCACCAGCUACUCCUGCCAGCAGCCCCCAUCCUUCCCAGCUGCACUCGGUUCUUCUCUGGUCUGUGGGACAGACCUUCUGUUGGUAUCACUUGCCAACAGGAUCAGGGUUAACUUGAAAGAGGGUCCAGGAUUUGUUGCAAAUUAGCAUAAGAAUUUCUGGAUGGCAUUUCCCUGAAGGAUUUUUGGUUGGCCUGAAGUAUUUGUGGGGAAGUGAUUCUCUCUUCAAAUUGUUCUGCUCCUGGAUGAUGCCACUGUGGUUCAGGGUGCUGAGGUCACCUGUCCAAGGUCAGGCAGCUAAAACCUGGCCCGGGUGGAAUGAAAACAUAAGAAGAACCUGACAGGCCAUGGGGAACACAGCCUAAUUAGCGAGGUGUCCCAGGCGCGGUGAUAACAGGUUGAAAGGAUGUGUGACCAAGCGGCGGUCCUGAAAGCUCAGGCCGUGUGGAUCUCCAGAAUUCUGAGGCGCCCAGCUCAGUGAGGCUCCUCACUGCCCCCCUUCCCAAUCAUCAAAAAUCAUUCCAAGCCCACAGUGUGCCCUCCGGGGCAGGCCAGAGACGCGUCUGCAUGCCAACACCUCUGGGAACUAAAAGGCCCUCCCCCAGUGGACCAGCACUGAAUUCCAUGGGUCACAAACUGUGUGCAGUGUCGCAACUGUGGUUCAAGGGGAACUCCUGGCUGAAGCCCACAAGGGGCAGGCAGGGGCAUCAAAGCAGCUGCCCUCUGCUCCCAGGGGACCUGGAAGAAAGCGGUCUUGACCUUUGCGUGACCCAUGGCCCAUGGGUGACAGAUGUCGUGCUAUGAACUGUGCCUUCACCCUAAGGCUGAGCAGCUGGGCAGAAGGGAGACACGUGAAUGGGCCGAGGCUGUGAGGGAGCAUGAGAAAGCACUGCCGUCCACACCAACGUCUCAUAACCAACAAGGGGCAUGUGGACCACCAGUCAGUGGCAUGGGCAGACGCUCCCAGAUUCUGGAGACACGGCCCUCUCUCCUAUCUCCUAAGGAUGCCUGUAACAUGUCCAAGGGCUUUCCCUUGCAUCCCUGCCCAGAAGCCCCCGAAACAGGCAGUCAAAGGUGUCCCUACUUGACAGGAAUAUCAGGCUCCCAAAGGCAAAGCGUCUGCUGGAGCUGACCAAGGCAGCCUGUGAGAAGAAGCUGCGUCCGGGCUGUCUCUUCUAUUCCAGUUCCCACGUGAGGACGCCACCUGUCUUCCUCCUGGGGUUGUCAUGGGGUCCAUCAGAAGUAGGGGUGGAGAAACUGAGAGUGAGCGAUAGAGGAAAGGGAACAGGAAAGGAGUUCUUGCUGAGCGCCUGAUGCUGAAGACUAUAUACAGGUAUAGUCUUGUCACUUAGUUGCUAAACUAUGUCUCUUUCCCACCCCAUGGAUUAUAGCCCAGCAGGCAUAUCUGUCCAUGGGAUUUCCCAGGUAGGAAUACUAGACCCAGUUGCUAUUUCCUUCUCCAGGGUAUCUUCCCAAUCCAGAGAUUGAACCCACAUCUCCUGUGUCUCCUGCAUUGCAGGCGGAUUCUUUCCCCACUGAUCCAUCAAGGAAGAUGUCUGUACAUCUCACGACUGAUAAUGUAUUUAGGAUUUUUUUCAUUUGAUAAACCCUUUAACAUAAACUUGAGUGGUCACCUUGGGUUUCUUCAUAAUUAUAACUUAAACUAUG
ensembl:lncRNA